rnacentral:rRNA from 1 species
GACGAACGCUGGCGGCGUGCUUAACACAUGCAAGUCGAACGGAAAGGCCCUGCUUUUGUGGGGUGCUCGAGUGGCGAACGGGUGAGUAACACGUGAGUAACCUGCCCUUGACUUUGGGAUAACUUCAGGAAACUGGGGCUAAUACCGGAUAGGAGCUCCUGCUGCAUGGUGGGGGUUGGAAAGUUUCGGCGGUUGGGGAUGGACUCGCGGCUUAUCAGCUUGUUGGUGGGGUAGUGGCUUACCAAGGCUUUGACGGGUAGCCGGCCUGAGAGGGUGACCGGCCACAUUGGGACUGAGAUACGGCCCAGACUCCUACGGGAGGCAGCAGUGGGGAAUAUUGCACAAUGGGCGGAGGCCUGAUGCAGCAACGCCGCGUGCGGGAUGACGGCCUUCGGGUUGUAAACCGCUUUCGCCUGUGACGAAGCGUGAGUGACGGUAAUGGGUAAAGAAGCACCGGCUAACUACGUGCCAGCAGCCGCGGUGAUACGUAGGGUGCGAGCGUUGUCCGGAUUUAUUGGGCGUAAAGGGCUCGUAGGUGGUUGAUCGCGUCGGAAGUGUAAUCUUGGGGCUUAACCCUGAGCGUGCUUUCGAUACGGGUUGACUUGAGGAAGGUAGGGGAGAAUGGAAUUCCUGGUGGAGCGGUGGAAUGCGCAGAUAUCAGGAGGAACACCAGUGGCGAAGGCGGUUCUCUGGGCCUUUCCUGACGCUGAGGAGCGAAAGCGUGGGGAGCGAACAGGCUUAGAUACCCUGGUAGUCCACGCUGUAAACGGUGGGUACUAGGUGUGGGGUCCAUUCCACGGGUUCCGUGCCGUAGCUAACGCUUUAAGUACCCCGCCUGGGGAGUACGGCCGCAAGGCUAAAACUCAAAGGAAUUGACGGGGCCCCGCACAAGCGGCGGAGCAUGCGGAUUAAUUCGAUGCAACGCGUAGAACCUUACCUGGGUUUGACAUGGAUCGGGAGUGCUCAGAGAUGGGUGUGCCUCUUUUGGGGUCGGUUCACAGGUGGUGCAUGGCUGUCGUCAGCUCGUGUCGUGAGAUGUUGGGUUAAGUCCCGCAACGAGCGCAACCCUUGUUCACUGUUGCCAGCACGUUAUGGUGGGGACUCAGUGGAGACCGCCGGGGUCAACUCGGUGGAAGGUGGGGAUGACGUCAAGUCAUCAUGCCCCUUAUGUCCAGGGCUUCACGCAUGCUACAAUGGCUGGUACAGAGAGUGGCGAGCCUGUGAGGGUGAGCGAAUCUCGGAAAGCCGGUCUCAGUUCGGAUUGGGGUCUGCAACUCGACCUCAUGAAGUCGGAGUCGCUAGUAAUCGCAGAUCAGCAACGCUGCGGUGAAUACGUUCCCGGGGCU